rnacentral:lncRNA from 1 species
UAUAUAUAUAUAUUAAAAAAUAUAUAAAUAUAAUAUAUUUUAAUUAUAUAUAGGCUAAGUGAAUAAUCUGAGUUUAAUUAAAAUUGGGUUAAUAUUGUUGGCCCAUAAAAACAAACCCAAUAGACAAAUAAGAGAGCAAAAUUUUACUAAAUUUAUACAUUUUUUUUUUCUUUUUUUCAUAGAGCUCUAAAUUUUCAAUAUGUUUCUCUCUUUCUCUUUUUCUGUCUCUCACCUUACGUGGUCAAGCCGGAAGCCUUCCAAGUUACCAAGUCCUGUCGUUGCCUAUCUUGCUAUUAAUUGUAUACUUGAGAAAAUAUACAGAAUAUUUUUAAAGUAAAAAAUUAUUAUUUAUAUAAAAUUUUAAUUUUAGUUAUAUAUGAUUGAAUAGUUUAAUCCAAUAUUUAUCUAUAUAAUUUAUUUAUUUUUGA